rnacentral:rRNA from 1 species
AACGAACGCUGGCGGCAUGCCUAACACAUGCAAGUCGAACGAGACCUUCGGGUCUAGUGGCGCACGGGUGAGUAACGCGUGGGAACCUGCCCUUAGGUUCGGAAUAACUCCCCGAAAGGGGUGCUAAUACCGGAUAAUGUCUUCGGACCAAAGAUUUAUCGCCUUUGGAUGGGCCCGCGUUGGAUUAGCUAGUUGGUAGGGUAAAAGCCUACCAAGGCGACGAUCCAUAGCUGGUCUGAGAGGAUGAUCAGCCACACUGGGACUGAGACACGGCCCAGACUCCUACGGGAGGCAGCAGUGGGGAAUAUUGGACAAUGGGCGAAAGCCUGAUCCAGCAAUGCCGCGUGAGUGAUGAAGGCCUUAGGGUUGCAAAGCUCUUUUACCCGGGAUGAUAAUGACAGUACCGGGAGAAUAAGCUCCGGCUAACUCCGU